GCCACAGGUAAUUUCGCAGACGGCAGAAAGCUCGGGGAAGGAGGUUUCGGUUCAGUAUACAAAGGAUUUUUCAAGGACUUGAACCUUGAUGUGGCGAUAAAAAGAGUAUCCAAGAGCUCAAAACAGGGGAUGAAGGAGUAUAUCUCGGAGCUGAGGACCAUAAGCCGGCUUCGGCACCGCAAUCUCGUGCAACUCAUUGGCUGGUGCCAUGGUGGCGGCGAGCUCCUUCUGGUCUAUGAGCUGAUGCCCGGUGGCAGUCUCAACACUCACCUUUACAAUACAUCGGAUGUGCUGACAUGGCCGAUCAGGCAUGGGAUUGUGCUGGGGAUCAGCUCAGCGAUCAUGUACUUGCACCAAGGCUGGGAGCAAUGUGUGUUGCACAGGGACAUCAAGCCGAGCAACAUCAUGCUGGACACCUGCUUCAGCGCAAAGCUUGGCGACUUCGGGCUCGCAAGGCUCGUUGACCAUAGCCAUGGGUCGUACACGACGGAGCUUGCCGGCACAAUGGGGUAUAUGGACCCGGACUGCAUGGUGACUGGCAGGGCCACCGCUGCGGACAUGUAUAACUUCGGCAUGGUCCUACUCGAGAUAGCCUGUGGGCGCAGGCCUGUCGUGGCCCUUCCAAACGACACUGUGAUCCACCUGGCUCAACGGGUGUCGGAGUUGUACAGCAAGGGAAGAGUCCUUGGGAGAAAGAGAGAGAGA
rnacentral:rRNA from 1 species